GACGAACGCUGGCGGCGUGCUUAACACAUGCAAGUCGAGCGGUAAGGCCCUUUCGGGGGUACACGAGCGGCGAACGGGUGAGUAACACGUGGGUGACCUGCCCUUAGCUCUGGGAUAAGCCUGGGAAACUGGGUCUAAUACCGGAUAUGACUCCAUGACGCAUGUUGUGGGGUGGAAAGCCUUGUGCGGCUAGGGAUGGGCCCGCGGCCUAUCAGCUUGUUGGUGGGGUGAUGGCCUACCAAGGCGACGACGGGUAGCCGGCCCGAGAGGGCGACCGGCCACACUGGGACUGAGACACGGCCCAGACUCCUACGGGAGGCAGCAGUGGGGAAUCUUGCGCAAUGGGCGAAAGCCUGACGCAGCGACGCCGCGUGA
rnacentral:rRNA from 1 species